rnacentral:rRNA from 1 species
GUCGAGAGGCUUCGGCAAUGGGGGAAACCCUGACCGAGCGACGCCGCGUGAGGGAUGAAGCUCUUCGGGGUGUAAACCUCUUUUCUAGGGGAAGAAACUCAUGGGUUCAAAUAGGGCCCAUGCCUGACGGUACCCUAGGAAUAAGCUCCGGCUAACUCCGUGCCAGCAGCCGCGGUAAUACGGGGGGAGCAAACGUUGUUCGGAAUCACUGGGCGUAAAGGGCGCGUAGGCGGCUCGGCAAGUGGUGUGUGAAAUGCCCUGGCUCAACCAGGGAACUGCGCUCCAAACUGCCGAGCUUGAGGGCAGUAGAGGAAGCUGGAAUUCCUGGUGUAGCGGUGAAAUGCGUAGAUAUCAGGAGGAACACCGUUGGCGAAGGCGAGCUUCUGGGCUGUCCCUGACGCUGAGGCGCGAAAGCUGGGGGAGCGAACAGGAUUAGAUACCCGUGUAGUCC